GAUGAACGCUGACGGCGUGCCUAAUACAUGCAAGUCGAGCGAACGGACGAGAAGCUUGCUUCUCUGAUGUUAGCGGCGGACGGGUGAGUAACACGUGGAUAACCUACCUAUAAGACUGGGAUAACUUCGGGAAACCGGAGCUAAUACCGGAUAAUAUUUUGAACCGCAUGGUUCAAAAGUGAAAGACGGUCUUGCUGUCACUUAUAGAUGGAUCCGCGCUGCAUUAGCUAGUUGGUAAGGUAACGGCUUACCAAGGCAACGAUGCAUAGCCGACCUGAGAGGGUGAUCGGCCACACUGGAACUGAGACACGGUCCAGACUCCUACGGGAGGCAGCAGUAGGGAAUCUUCCGCAAUGGGCGAAAGCCUGACGGAGCAACGCCGCGUGAGUGAUGAAGGUCUUCGGAUCGUAAAACUCUGUUAUUAGGGAAGAACAUAUGUGUAAGUAACUGUGCACAUCCUGACGGUACCUAAUCAGAAAGCCACGGCUAACUACGUG
rnacentral:rRNA from 1 species